rnacentral:rRNA from 1 species
AACGAACGCUGGCGGCAUGCCUAACACAUGCAAGUCGAACGAGACCUUCGGGUCUAGUGGCGCACGGGUGCGUAACGCGUGGGAACCUGCCCUUAGGUUCGGACUAACUAUCCGAAAGGGGUGCUAAUACCGGAUAAUGUCUUCGGACCAAAGAUUUAUCGCCUUUGGAUGGGCCCGCGUUGGAUUAGCUAGUUGGUAGGGUAAAAGCCUACCAAGGCGACGAUCCAUAGCUGGUCUGAGAGGAUGAUCAGCCACACUGGGACUGAGACACGGCCCAGACUCCUACGGGAGGCAGCAGUGGGGAAUAUUGGACAAUGGGCGAAAGCCUGAUCCAGCAAUGCCGCGUGAGUGAUGAAGGCCUUAGGGUUGUAAAGCUCUUUUACCCGUGAUGAUAAUGACAGUACCGGGAGAAUAAGCUCCGGCUAACUCCGUG